rnacentral:rRNA from 1 species
GACGAACGCUGGCGGCGUGCUUAACACAUGCAAGUCGAGCGGAAAGGCCACUUCGGUGGUACUCGAGCGGCGAACGGGUGAGUAACACGUGAGUAAUCUGCCCCUCACUUUGGGAUAGCCACCGGAAACGGUGAUUAAUACCGGAUAUGACCAUAUGUCGCAUGGCGUGUGGUGGAAAGUUUUUCGGUGAGGGAUGUGCUCGCGGCCUAUCAGCUUGAUGGUGAGGUAAUGGCUCACCAUGGCUUCGACGGGUAGCCGGCCUGAGAGGGUGACCGGUCACACUGGGACUGAGACACGGCCCAGACUCCUACGGGAGGCAACAGUGGGGAAUAUUGGACAAUGGGCGGAAGCCUGAUCCAGCAACGCCGCGUGAGGGAUGACGGCCUUCGGGUUGUAAACCUCUUUCAGUACCGACGAAGCGCAAGUGACGGUAGGUACAGAAGAAGCACCGGCCAACUACGUG